rnacentral:rRNA from 1 species
UACGUAGGUGGCAAGCGUUGUCCGGAUUUACUGGGCGUAAAGCGCGCGCAGGCGGCUUGACGCGCCCGACGUGAAAGCCCCCGGCUUAACCGGGGAGGGUCGUCGGGUACGGUCAGGCUUGAGGGCGGGAGAGGGUGGUGGAAUUCCCGGUGUAGUGGUGAAAUGCGUAGAGAUCGGGAGGAACACCUGUGGCGAAGGCGGCCACCUGGGCCGACCCUGACGCUGAGGCGCGAAGGCGUGGGGAGCGAACGGG